rnacentral:lncRNA from 1 species
AUGUAUAUAAACCUCAACAGUCGCAGCGGAAUAUAAACCAGAGUAAAUUCAAAUAUACAUGUUAUGAAUAAAUAAAUUACAUCAACAUAGAUGCAUCUCAAAAAUCCCAACAAACGGGUAAUCUCCAAACAUAACAAAACCAAAGUAAAAGAUAAUCUAGACUGACACAACUAAGCCUAGAUCAGAGCCGACUAAACAUCUAAACACCGAUAUCGGAGAAAGCUCCAGAUAUCCACCAAGCACAAGAACUCACCAAGCAACUAAACCUGCACAACGUCUACCCAUCCAUACAGAUAGGCAGGCGGUCCAUAACAGAUCCACUGGGGGUAAGUAUUACAUUAUCAUAAUCCAAAUAACAGUUAACAUGAAUAUUUCAAUUUAAACAUCAUGCACUUGAUCAAUAAUAAUAUUCCCACAUCAAUACUUACAUCAAACCCCAAUAUCUCACAUCAAUAAUCACCAAUCACAUGUGUCAUGAACAAAUAUCAAUUCACAGUUAUUCAUACACAAUCACCAAUCAUAUACAUCAUGAACAAUCACCAAUCAUAAGCCAUGAACAAUCAUUAAUCAUAUUUCAUGAACAAUCACCAAUCACAUGUAUCAUGAACAAAUAUCAAUUCACAGUUAUUCAUACACAAUCACCAAUCAUAUACAUCAUGAACAAUCACCGAUCAUAUACAUCAUGAACAAUCACCAAUCAUAUACAUCAUGAACAAUCACCGAUCAUAUACAUCAUGAACAAUCACCAAUCAAAAGUCAUGAACAAUCAUUAUCAUAAUUCAUGAACAAUUAUCAAUUCACAAAUAUUCAUUCACAAUCGUCAAUCACAAACAUCAUCAAUAAUCAUUCAUCUCAAUUCAUCACCAAUCACAUAUUUCACAUAAGACUCAUGCUAUGAUAUGCACUUAUGGACACAUAAAUGCAUGUGGUACCAAAUCUCAACAAGGUCGUCACCUCCGAUGGACAAGUCAACAUCGCAUGUAAGGCUCACCUCUGCCUUACAAUAAUCUCGAAGUAAAAGAGUCAUCCCUUUUACAGCAACAACGACUAUGAUGCAUGGACAUGUGUAAGAACUCGAUAAUGCGACAACAAUUCACAAUCUCAACUCAAUAUAUAGGACGACACCCAAUUAUAUUGAUUAUCUCCACAACAUUGCAUUAUCAAGAAAACAUGCCCACACAAAUAAAUCAUAGUAUUCACCAUCACACAUCAACAUGAUUAUCAAUAAUCAACAAUGUCAUUCAACAUCAACUAUAUCAUAUAGUUUCACCAUUCCAAACAAUUCUCAUAUCCCAAGUAAGAGAACAUACAACAUCUCAUGACAAAUAUCAUAUCCAACAUAUAACCAUUCAACAUCAACUAUCACAUAUAGUUUCACCAUUCAAGCAUUCCUUACAUUCUAAGUAAGAUAGCAUACACAUCUCAUGAUAAACAUCAUAUUCAAUACAAUCAUUCAUUCAUACAACUUCACUUAGUCAUACAAGAAUAAUCUCAAUAACUCACAAGACAAUUUGCUUAAGAAACAUUUCCAACAAAAAUCCAAAACAUGUGGCAAACGGCCAACAUUGACAAUUUUUAAAGCUAGGCAACUUAUUUAAGUUUGAAAUCCUACAAUUCAAUCUUAAUCAAUCAUGUAGUCAAGGACUUAAGCCACUUACAAACUAUUAGAAAUUAGUUCAAAGGAUAGCUCAAGUUCGUAUGAGAAAAACCAAGACAAAACGACAUUUAGCUCAAAACCCGUUUUCACCGAUUCAACUCCGCCCAAAAUAUUUCUUAAACCAU